CAGCUUCCAGGAGGGUCUGGCAGGUCACAUGCCUCCCCUUUGGAGGGAACAGAGGGCACUGCUUGCAGCAGCCCCCACCUGCCCACCCAGAGCCCAGUAGUACCCCGUGGAGGAAAGGAGGCCUGGGGAGACAGGAGAGCUCGGGCCCACCCAGCCAAAGUAAGGAGGACCAGAGCCCCGAUGCCUGCCCCAGGGGCCUCCCGCAGAGCCUGCCCAUGAGUCUCUCCCAAGAUGUCUGGAUCUCCCUAGACAGCCUCCAAGGAGAGCAGUGUUAAUGGUUUGCCAUGUCCAUUGUCCAUGCAGGGAUGGAGAGCAGCAGCACCUGCCUGGUAGAACACACAGUGACACUCAGUCAUUGCUUAGGAGGCCUGCUCGUAAAAACCAAGCCUUGAUCUCACCACGACCAAGGCCAACCCCACUGCCAGCAACCCUGCCAGUGAUGGGGGACAGAGAGACUCCUGACUUCUGCUCCAAGAACCAAUGGAAGGUCAAGCAGCCCGGAGAUGAAGCCAGUAUGUCACAAAGGAAGAACCAAGACCAGUCUCAGAGACAGCAUCCUGGUUAAGUCCUGCCUAAAGCCCACCCUACCUGCAGACCGUUAUUCCAAGAGCUAAUAAACCCCAUUACUAUUUAAAAGAAAAACAAACGAACAAAAA